rnacentral:rRNA from 1 species
GACGAAGGAUGCAAGCGUUAUCCGGAUUCAUUGGGUUUAAAGGGAGCGUAGGCGGACUUGUAAGUCAGUGGUGAAAUCUGUGGACUUAACCCACAAACUGCCAUUGAUACUGCAGGUCUAGAGUACAGUUGCCGUUGGCGGAAUAUGACAUGUAGUGGUGAAAUACUUAGAUAUGUCAUAGAACACCGAUUGCGAAGGCAGCUAACGAAGCUGUAACUGACGCUGAGGCUCGAAAGUGCGGGGAUCAAACAGG